CAUGCAAGUCGAGGGGCAGCGGGAUUGAAGCUUGCUUCAAUUGCCGGCGACCGGCGCACGGGUGAGUAACGCGUAUCCAACCUUCCGUACACUCAGGGAUAGCCUUUCGAAAGAAAGAUUAAUACCUGAUGGUAUGAUGAGAUUGCAUGAUAGCAUCAUUAAAGAUUUAUCGGUGUACGAUGGGGAUGCGUUCCAUUAGGUAGUAGGCGGGGUAACGGCCCACCUAGCCGACGAUGGAUAGGGGUUCUGAGAGGAAGGUCCCCCACAUUGGAACUGAGACACGGUCCAAACUCCUACGGGAGGCAGCAGUGAGGAAUAUUGGUCAAUGGACGAGAGUCUGAACCAGCCAAGUAGCGUGAAGGAUGAAGGUCCUACGGAUUGUAAACUUCUUUUAUAAGGGAAUAAACCCUCCCACGUGUGGGAGCUUGUAUGUACCUUAUGAAUAAGCAUCGGCUAACUCCGUGCCAGCAGCCGCGGUAAUACGGAGGAUGCGAGCGUUAUCCGGAUUUAUUGGGUUUAAAGGGAGCGCAGACGGGUCGUUAAGUCAGCUGUGAAAGUUUGGGGCUCAACCUUAAAAUUGCAGUUGAUACUGGCGUCCUUGAGUGCGGUUGAGGUGUGCGG
rnacentral:rRNA from 1 species